rnacentral:rRNA from 1 species
CAAUAGCGUAUACUAAAGUUGUUGCGAUUAAAAAGCUCGUAGUUGGAUCUCAGGCAUGGGCGCACGGUCCGCCUCGCGGCGGUCACUGUGUGUUUUGUUUCCCAUCCUACGCUUCCCGGUUAUCAGCCCAUGGUGCUCUUCACUGCGCGUUUUGGGUGGCCGGAACGUUUACUUUGAAGAAAUUAGAGUGUUCAAAGCAGGCACGUUGCCUGAAUAAUGGUGCAUGGAAUAAUGGAAUAGGACCUCGGUUCUAUUUUGCUGGUUUUCGGAACACGAGGUAAUGAUUAAGAGGGACAGACGGGGGCAUCCGUAUUGCGGUGUUAGAGGUGAAAUUCUUGGAUCAUCGCAAGACGAACAACUGCGAAAGCAUUUGCCAAGCAUGUUUUCAUUAG